rnacentral:lncRNA from 1 species
CUGGAACCUCCUGCAGUGUGGCAUGUGGACUGUGUGCCCAGCUGCUGCUUGACACUCACUUGGCAAGGCCUUCCCUCUGCCAGGGCUGCCUGCAGGGCCUCUGAACACAGGGCUCUCACCCAAACAAGCAGCCAGAUGGGUCCCCAGUGGCUUGUGAGCCGGCUCCCUGCACAGGAGGAAUGAAGAUGUUUAUAUGUGACGAGACUGAAGCUCGACUUGUCAUCUCUAAGUGCACGUAGCUGUGGAUUCCUAGAACUGGGCAGCCCUGCUCUACAGUGCGACAACAUGAAGGCCAGCAGUCAUUGGACAACAGGUA